GAUGAACGCUGGCGGCGUGCCUAAUUCAUGCAAGUCGAGCGAACAGACGAGGAGCUUGCUCCUCUGACGUUAGCGGCGGACGGGUGAGUAACACGUGGAUAACCUACCUAUAAGACUGGGAUAACUUCGGGAAACCGGAGCUAAUACCGGAUAAUAUAUUGAACCGCAUGGUUCAAUAGUGAAAGACGGUUUUGCUGUCACUUAUAGAUGGAUCCGCGCCGCAUUAGCUAGUUGGUAAGGUAACGGCUUACCAAGGCAACGAUGCGUAGCCGACCUGAGAGGGUGAUCGGCCACACUGGAACUGAGACACGGUCCAGACUCCUACGGGAGGCAGCAGUAGGGAAUCUUCCGCAGUGGGCGAAAGCCUGACGGAGCAACGCCGCGUGAGUGAUGAAGGUCUUCGGAUCGUAAAACUCUGUUAUUAGGGAAGAACAAAUGUGUAAGUAACUAUGCACGUCUUGACGGUACCUAAUCAGAAAGCCACGGCUAACUACGU
rnacentral:rRNA from 1 species